UACGUAGGUGGCGAGCGUUGUCCGGAUUUACUGGGCGUAAAGAGCGCGCAGGCGGUCGUUCAAGUCGCGUGUGAAAGCCCCCGGCUCAACUGGGGAGGGUCACGCGAUACUGAUCGACUCGAAGGCAGGAGAGGGAAGUGGAAUUCCCGGUGUAGUGGUGAAAUGCGUAGAUAUCGGGAGGAACACCAGUGGCGAAGGCGGCUCUCUGGGACGGGACUGACGCUGAGACGCGAAAGCGUGGGGAGCGAACAGG
rnacentral:rRNA from 1 species